UAGGGAAUAUUGGGCAAUGGAGGAAACUCUGACCCAGCAACGCCGCGUGAAGGAUGAAGGUUUUCGGAUUGUAAACUUCUUUUAUGUGAGAAAAAUAAAUGAUGGUAUCACAUGAAUAAGCCACGGCAAACUAUGUGCCAGCAGCCGCGGUAAGACAUAGGUGGCGAGCGUUGUCCGGAUUAACUGGGCGUAAAGCGAGAGUAGGCGGUUUUGCAAGUCGAUGGUGAAAUCCUGGGGCUUAACCCCAGAACUGCCAUCGAAACUGCAUUACUUGAGUGUGGGAGAGGAAGAUGGAAUUCCAAGUGUAGCGGUGGAAUGCGUAGAUAUUUGGAGGAACAUCGGUGGCGAAGGCGAUCUUCUGGAACACAACUGACGCUGAAUCUCGAAAGCGUGGGGAGCAAACA
rnacentral:rRNA from 1 species